AGAGUCCAUUAAACUCAAAAGAGGAUCAGGGGCGGAUCCAGCACUAGGCAAGCACCCACGACCGCCCGUGCUGGAUCCGCCAGACUGUUCAGCACCGCCGGGUGCCGGAGGUUUGCAGACUUACUGUUUGCAGAGAUGGAGGAAGAGGGAAAGAAAGAAAGAAGAUGAUCGGUUUUUCAUUUUUUUAUUUUGGUUUGGGCUGCUGACAAUUGACAUGGGCCUCUUGUUGUUUAAAAACAUUAGGCCCAAAUCAAUUAAUCAUGGUCCAUGGUAUUUCCCCAAAAACAAGUCCAAAUCCAAUACUCCAAUCCAAUUUCAAAUUCGUAAAAGGCAAACUUGAGGCUGAAGCUGAAGGUUGAAAGCCUGAAACCAAUCGCAAACCCUAUCCUAAUUCCAAAAAUUCCAUUCGAAGCAAAAGCAGCAGCCGCGCCUGCGAUUUGUGCGAAAUUCAAACUGUGAAUCAUGGUCACUGCUUUGCUGCUAGCUCUUGCCGCUAACGCGACACCACGGGCGACGCGCUGAGGAAAAGGAUAAGGAGUCGUCGUCGACGACGUGUUUCUUCGAGCAGCUUACAGAUGACUGGUGAGCGUGCAUUUCUCUUAUUCUCUUUCUCUAUUGUUUUUUUGGUUUUGUUAAGGAAACAAAAUAUUUCCUUGAAAUAGAAUUAAUUAUUUGGAGUUAAGUAAUUGUAACAAGAGUUUGAUGUGUAUAACAGUAUAAGGAAAGGGAAAUAAAGAAGUGAAAGAGAGAGGGGCUGUAAAGGAUCAACGACGUGGAAGUUGGAACUAUGUUAUUGGUUUUUAAUUUUGCUUACUUAAUUUUUAUAUUGGAUUGGACUCUAAUGUGAAAUGAAUUCAACCUUUGAAGCUUAAAAUUACUAAUUAAUACACGAAAUUAGAACAAUAAUAGAUUUAAUUUGUGUUAUUAAACUUCAAUUAGUUUCAAAUUUCACUUGAGUUGUUGAAUGUUGAGUGUUGACUGUAAUUUGUAUUAUUAGGGCUUGUUUGAGCCACAUUAUUCCAAAAAAAUAUAUUCUUAAACAGUGAUUUGGCAUCAUUUCAACUAUACAUUAUUCAAUAAAUAAUAUUACACGCAGAUCAAAAACUUUUCUUUAUUUUUUAAUUACACAUUUCUUAUCAAUACACUAUUCAAGAAUGCAUUGUUACCAAAAUAAUGUGGCUCAAACACCCCCUUUGUCUUAUUAAUCAAUAAUCACAUUUGAGUUAUGAUAAAUUUGUUUUUUUAUGAGUGUUAUUAGCCUACAGACAAUUUAUUAUCAUUAUUAUUAUUUAUGAGUUAUGAUUUAUGUUUUAUGAGUUAUUUUUGAGAAUUGUGAUUUACGAAUUAUGAUAAAUAAUUUAUAUUUUAUGAGUUAUGAUUAUUGAUUUGAGAAUUAUGUUUAGAAAAUUAAGAUAAGUGAAAAAAGUAAUUAAGAAGAUGUUGGACUCAAUUCAACAUAUAUGCACUUAGUACUCUUUUUUAGUGCAUUUACAUAUAUAUUGAAUAAUUUUUAAUAUUAUUUAAUCAAAUUUUAAUAAACGAUCGGGCUAUUACGAUCGUUGAUAUGGUGAACGAUCAACGGUCAAGCUCCGCCCUAACUGAACUUCAAUGUUGGAUUCGCCCCUGAAGAGGAUUAAGAUUCAAAAAAACAGGCACGUAGAUUUCCAAAUUGAUUUGCUCAAACGAGUCACUAUCUUGUGCGGACAUCUUAAGGGAUAAUUCUCAUAUCAAAUAAAGAUGAUAACAUAAACCAAUUUACUUGAGAAAUUGAAAGAAUGCAUUUGUUAGGUCAAAAGGGUAUAUAGAGUGAAUAGAUAGAGUUAUUCUUUGACCUAACGAAAGAACUGAGAAAGACCAUACAUGGUGUUUGAUUAAUAAAGUGCUUUCUCUGUAUUAUGAUAUAUCUCAUUGUUUGGUGCAGGCAAUAAGAAUAUUAGGGAACGGAGAGCUUUCCAUUCCUCGUUGCUUUAUCGUAAAAAAGGAUCCUCUUCAAAUGCUCAGAACGGAGGGUUAGAUAAUCGAGAGAGCACCGUUGUGUUCCACAAGGGUAAUGCAACACCAACUGUGAAAGCUCUAACAUUCGAUAGAUCUGACACCUUAAUGGUUGAUGUUCAAUAAGUUGAUGUGAGUGAAUUGAAGGCACCAACAGGGGCGAAUCCAGCAUUUUGAGGGAGCACGGGCGGUGGUUGUUUGUUUUCGUUGGUCACAAUAAAAUAUUUAAAAUUAAAUAUAACAAUUAUUUUGCUAAAAAUGAAGAUAUAUUAAUUUUGUUACAAAAUUCAAUACUUCCCCAGUGGUCAAGCUUUGCAUAAUCCAAAAGAAGAGAAAAGGUCCUAAUCGAUUGAGUUGCAUUAAAUGUUUUAAAGAGCAUAUAAAAUUAUGUUACAUUGAGCGCCAAGAUCCGUAUAGUGUCACAUUGGUCAAGUCCUCAACAAUCUUAAAGAAGGUUCCAGGUUCGAAUUGCUUCCUUUGCAUCACUUUUGUAAAAAUUGUUGAAUUAGAAAAUUUGCAAUACAAAUUACUUUGGAAGUGUUUCGAACCCGUGAGCUCUAAUUUGAUUAUGAUAGCUCCAACCAAC
rnacentral:lncRNA from 1 species